rnacentral:tRNA from 1 species
GCUAGGAUAGCUCUGUCAGUAGAGCAGAAGACUCUCAAUCUCAGGGUUGUGGGUUCAAGCCCCACAUUGGGCA